rnacentral:rRNA from 1 species
CGGGUGAGUAACACGUAGGUAAUCUACCUUCGGGUGGGGAAUAACGCAGGGAAACUUGCGCUAAUACCGCAUAAUGCAGCGGCACCACAUGGUGACAGUUGUUAAAGCGGGGGCUUUUCGGACCUCGCGCCUGAAGAGGAGCCUGCGGCAGAUUAGCUAGUUGGUAAGGUAACGGCUUACCAAGGCGACGAUCUGUAACCGGCCUGAGAGGGCGGUCGGUCACACUGACACUGACAUACGGGUCAGACUCCUACGGGAGGCAGCAGUCGGGAAUUUUGGGCAAUGGGCGCAAGCCUGACCCAGCAACGCCGCGUGAAGGAUGAAAUCCCUCGGGAUGUAAACUUCGCAAGAAUGGGAAGAAUGAACGAGCGCUAACACCGUUCGUGAUGACGGUACCAUUUGUAAGCUCCGGCUAACUCCGUGCCAGCAGCCGCGGUAAUACGGGGGGAGCAAGCGUUGUUCGGAUUUACUGGGCGUAAAGGGCGCGUAGGCGGCCAGCGCAAGUCAGUUGUGAAAUCUCCGGGCUUAACUCGGAAAGGUCAACUGAUACUGCGCGGCUAGAGUGCGGAAGGGGCAACUGGAAUUCUCGGUGUAGCGGUGAAAUGCGUAGAUAUCGAGAGGAAC